UAGUCCACGCCGUAAACGAUGGUCACUAGCUGUGUGGAUUUCGAUCUGCGUGGCUAAGCGAAAGUGAUAAGUGACCCACCUGGGGAGUACGUUCGCAAGAAUGAAACUCAAAGGAAUUGACGGGGGCCCGCACAAGCGGUGGAGCAUGUGGUUUAAUUCGAUGAUACGCGAGGAACCUUACCAGGGCUUAAAUGUAAGUUGCAUUAGCUAGAGAUAGCUAUUUCUUCGGACUACUUACAAGGUGCUGCAUGGUUGUCGUCAGCUCGUGCCGUGAGGUGUCAGGUUAAGUCCUAUAACGAGCGCAACCCCUACCGUUAGUUGCUAGCAGGUCAUGCUGAGGACUCUAACGGGACUGCCGGUGCAAACCGUGAGGAAGGUGGGGACGACGUCAAAUCAUCACGGCCCUUACGUCCUGGGCCACACACGUGCUACAAUGGCCGGUACAGAGGGAAGCCACCACGUAAGUGGGCGCGGAUCUAUAAAACCGGUCACAGUUCGGAUCGGGGUCUGCAACUCCG
rnacentral:rRNA from 1 species